UGGAUUCCGUUCAUAUAUACAGAAAAUACAAACAUAUAUCCAGUAAAAUGGAUGUUAAAAUAACACUAUCAGAUCUAACCUCUACCACAUAAUGAACAAAUCAACUUGACAGAAACCGCAAAGCAACAAAGUAGACAUGAUCAAGCUAAAGAAGCCCAAAUAUUAAAGAAAUACCAAGAAAUAUCAACCAAACAAUAUGAAACAAUAACAGAGCCUGACCCGGAACUGCACCGGACCCUCCAUUUCCCACAGUGCAAGGUCCUAAUUUGGCAACACGAACACCAGCACAGUGAGCAUCGGGACAACCACACCAGUAGGUAACUCCAUCGACACCGCAAACCGGGUCGGGUCGGAAGCAAUUGAUGGGGCAAGAAUCGGUCGGAAAUGGAGUUCUAGGACAUUUAUCUUCGUCGUCUUGAUGAGAAGGUAGUGGAUUUAAACCGUUUAAACAGACAGUAAUGGACAAAAAGAUGACAGCAAAUAGCAGAAUUUGGAGAUGAAAUUGGGAUUUUCUCAACUCUGAUUUCAUUGAUAAAGCUCCUCUAAAGUCUAAGAAGCUCAAUUUCACCAAAAUUGAUGAUACAGAGAAACCCUAAUUGAGGAAAUCG
rnacentral:misc_RNA from 1 species